GUCUUCUCGCCGUCUUCUCGCCGGAUGGAAACUAUGCGGAUGCUGGUACGAUUGUCCUGCAACUAUGGUGCUUCAUUCCUACAAAAAGAGAUGUCAAUGGGGUAGCUCAUAUUCUUGCUAGAGAGGUUGUUUCUCUUACAAUAGAAUUGAUUGAUAAUGAUUCUACUCCUAUAUUUAUUUCUGCUCAUGUACUGGCUGAAUACCAACAUUGUACCUGAUUAUAUGAAUGUCAUUCUAUCUUUAAAAAGAAAAAAGAAAAAAGAAAAAAAAAAGUUUGCAUUUUAGUGGUUUACUUUUGCAGCUGUAUGAAAAUGCAAUUACAGUCUGUUUCCGGUAGCUUUUUAGUGGUUUGACCAAAAAAGUUUUAAGAAAAAAAAAUUUGCUCAAGUUCUUAAUGGAUUUAAGUGAAAGAAAAAUAUACAUAUAAAAUGAGUGUUGUAGAAAAUAUAUCUCUAUAUCUAUAUGUCUUUCACUAUAUAUCCACUAGAAUGUUGACGUUGAUGAUCAAUUCAUGGGUUUGGAGAUGGGUUUUUAAAGUAGCUAGGCAACCAAUAUUGAAGACUACCUUUACGUUGGUGGUUGUUUGAUAUUGCUAAUUGGUUUUCCAACUGUGAAGGGAUAAAACCUGGUAGGCAUUAGGUGGUUCUAGACCCAGACUAGCUACAAAAUUAGCUAGCUAUAUACAUACAUACAUAUAUAUACACAUGGGGUGGUUCAAGAACACAACUAUAUAUAUAUAGUUCUGCUUGUGUUACUGCAUGCUAUUGGUUUCACUCUUUCCCUGUAUAAAAAAAUAAUUAAUUAAUUAGUCAAGAAUAGCUGGCUAUGAUCUAUCUUGGUUGUUUCCAACUUCGUAUAUGCAGAAACUGAUCAUAUCAAUAUGUUGAAUACAAGACAAGAAAUAAGAUCUCAGCAUGAUUAAUUAAGUAGACUUCUCUCGUCAGUAUUAAUGUUCUGAAAACCAGCUACUUGUUUCUGUGUAGCUAGGCUUUUAACCAUGCAGGUCAAAAUGUUGAAAUAUUUUGGGUGUCCUGUUUUUAAAUAAAUAAAUGAUUCCUACUUUGAAACUCUCAAAUUUUAUUUUUUUUCUUUUACUUUCCAGUGUCCACUUGACACCAGCAUUGGUUUGGAAGAAAAUCAUAUAUUUAUUAGGUAGUGUAUUGUUAGGUUUUGACCAUAUUUUGUAGCUUAUGCCAAUGUACAUUUCUCUUGCCACCAACUGGUCACUUGGAAGUUAUUGGUUCUUUAGUAUCCGGUCAAACUGCUACAACAAGGUAAGUUAUCAAUACAUACAUAGCAAUUUUUUAUAUGAUUAUUAGUGCAACACUGAACUGUACCUUCUAAGUUAUUCUUCUUCUUACUUUUUGCUUUUUAUCUAUCAUUCAUUAUUAUUCUAUUCUUUUUUCAGGGUUCAGAAUUUUACUUGCACUUGAAUCUGUUCUUGUCAGAUGGUUGUAUGAAGGAAAAUCAUAUGAGAGAAUGUGUGUUGGCCUUAUCGUGAUAAUUGGAACAUUACAUGUGAAAAACAUGAUGUUGAAGGAUAUCUAUUCUCAAAGAUUGAACCAAGAUAUCAAGAAAUAUAGAGCAAAAACAUUUCAGAAGCUGUCAAAGAUCGAUGGAAUCAAAGUUCAACUCAUAUAGAAAAAAUUUCACUUGUAAAUUUAUAUUCCAUUGUGAUAUGUUGGAUGGAAUGGUGUAAAACUUAAAACAUUGGCAGUGGUUAAUUUCAAAUAUGUACUUUGAGUUUA